rnacentral:rRNA from 1 species
UACGUAGGGUGCGAGCGUUAAUCGGAAUUACUGGGCGUAAAGCGUGCGCAGGCGGGCUUUUAAGCCAGACGUGAAAUCCCCGGGCUUAACCUGGGAAUGGCGUUUGGGACUGGGAGUCUGGAGUGCGGCAGAGGAGACUGGAAUUCCUGGUGUAGCAGUGAAAUGCGUAGAUAUCAGGAGGAACACCAAUGGCGAAGGCAGCUCGCUGGGACGUGACUGACGCUGAGACGCGAAAGCGUGGGGAGCAAACAGG